UGUCUUUCACAGACAUUGAGGUUUUGCCAAAAUCUGUGUCUGAGUUGAGUACCCUCACUGCUUUGUUGCUAACAUCUUGUAAGCGAUUAAAGCACAUGCCUUCACUAGCAAAGCUUCAGUCCUUACUAAGGUUAGACCUAUCUUUUACUGCAAUCACAGAAAUGCCUCAAGGUUUGCAAACGUUAGUAAACCUUAAAUGGCUUAAUCUUUAUGCAAAAGAUUUGGUGUCAUCAGGAAAACAAAUAGCAAAAUUGACUCGUCUCCAAUUUCUUAUUCUCCAUUGGUGGUCAAGAAAGAUAAAAGUGAAAGUAGAGUAUAUAUCAUGCCUGAGAAAGUUGGAAACUUUUGCAGCUAACUUGUACAACAUGCACCAUUUCAAUGCCUAUGUGAAAAUAAUGCAUAUAUAUGGACCUAGAAGUUACCUUCUUCAGUUAGACACUGAAGAAUCUCUUGGUAACUCUCCGUGGUGUUGUUUUGCUGAGGUUUGUUUGAGGAAGGAUGUGAUAAUUUCAAAUUGCAAAAUCAGAACAGGAGAAACGCCCCUUAUCC
rnacentral:lncRNA from 1 species